rnacentral:lncRNA from 1 species
AACAACUGGUACUGCUCCAGCUCCUGCACCAGCACCUGGGCCCUUCUCCAACACAGACCCGAACCAGGAAGAUCCGGAUAAAGACACUGUCUGCACUCUACUCAGAUGCCCUUUGAGUCUAUGCGCUGUUUCUGGGCUCAUCCUCCAGCCUCAACGUGUUUGCUGCCACACAGCAUGUCCUGUGGGACUGGAGAAAUAUGGAGAAUGCAGCACACUUGCUUCCUACUGAAAUUCAGAUAUACAUGAAAAUCAUUUUGCAUAAUGAAGGAUUAAAAUCAAAUUGUUUUGGGACAGCAGAGGAUGAAGAAACUCAUUUUGACUGAAGUUAUUGGAUGAGACAUGGCUGUGGACAACUUCAGAGAAGAUAUAUUUAAGCAGAACCUUAAACUUAUGUCAGAAUUUUUAAUCACCAGAGAUCAGCAAAGCCAAAGGCAUAUAGACUAUUUCUCAGAUGCACUUGUCAAGAUGAGAGAAUGUGGGCAGAGACAUUCGAACAGGGAAUUACUCCUCCCAAGAAUAUUCUUCCAAGGAAAUCCCUGAAAAACCAGAUGGCAGAAGUUACUCAGAAGAAAUGAAAGGAUUUUCCAUUAUUCAAAUAGGAGGUGGAAGAGGAAGUGUGGGAGUAAUUACUGGAUUAAGAUCACUGAAAGACAAGAUUGUCUUUAAGGAAACAGAAGACUGAGAAGAAAAGAAGCUUGCUCAAGGUCACAUAGAGCUGGAAUUUAAAUUCAGAUCUAUUAUACUCUUAAGGACUGUGGAAGGGUGAGUAAGAAUAAGUCACAUAUUUCCAGUGUUUUGCCCCUAUGAUCAAAAUUACCCUUAUUAUGAAGAUAGAAAUGUCAUCAUAUCUGGGCCCAACUACACUAAAUUUUAAAUCACCUGACUAUGCCUUUUUAUUCUGAUUCUCUGAUCUCCAAUGAACUGUGUCUCUUGGAAAAUUAUUUGGUAGACAUUGAUCUUAUGAAUGUGGCAGUUGAUUCCACCAAUAAGCACAACCUCAUUCUUAGUCUGCUUAAAAACUAAGAUAAUACAUUGAGGACCAAGGUAAUUUCACCCUAUGACAACUCUGGAAAGGCAACUAAAUGAUAUCUUCAUUCAUUUGCUUGUCCAUUUGCUAUUCUUCAUGAUUACUAUGUGCAAAGCACUGUGCAAGUCAUUGGAGAUGCAGUGCUAUAACAAGAGUCAUAUUUUUAUUGUUCUCAAGACCUAGUAUACUAGGAAAUAGAGACAUGGAAGAAAUCUUUGUUCAAGUAGUUAACUUUAAUAAUUAUUGUGGGACCCAAGAAGAAUUGCAGGAUGUGAUGUAGGUAUGGAAUAAGCAAACUUAUCUGAUAUAGGGAAUCAGAGAAAGUUUACCUGUUGAAAUUUCUCUGCAUUACAUUUUGAAUAUAAAUGUGUUUCUGAUACCUCAAUAGAUUUUUGGGAGAUAUUGGGCUUUUAAUUAAAAAUGACCAGUAAGUGAUCUAAAAUAUCUUCCUGGAAGUUGGGGGAGAGAGAGAGAGAGAGAGAGGGAGCACAAGCUAGAAAAUAAUGCUGAUAGUUUAAAUGGUGGGAGUGGAUGAAAGCAGACGCAAAGAGGAAAUGACAGUCUUUGGGACACCUAUCCUUAGAGGGCAGGAAGAAAUUGAGAAACCAAGGAAAGUAAAGUUAUAAAGUAACCAGAAAAUAAAAAGUGCUGGCAUAGUUCAGUAUCACAAUAUUCCAAGGAAGAUAAGAUUUAAAAGAGGCAGGAAAGAUUGUCACCAGGAACAAAAGCUAUGGACAAGAGACAUAGAUUGAGGACAGGAACUGAAGGUUGUGGUAGAGAUUACUGACCUAUAAUAGACCCAUUCUGCUCUUUUCUUUUAUAAGCAAAUGGAUUCCUGUUUCUUAGCUGAGCACAAGGUUGCCCAGUAAAAGAAUUACAUAUAUCCACCUAUUUUGCAUCUUUAUGGGCCAUAUGAAUAGUUCUGACAAAUUACAUAAACAAGAAAUAUUGAGUGGAGCCCCUGGUAAGUGCUACUCAAAAAAGGGGAACGUUUCUUUCUUACUCCCUUCAUUUAGUUGGUUGCUUGGAAUGUUGGUGUCAUGCUAAGGGGUCCAGCAAUCAUGGUAGGCCCUAGAAGAUGGAUACUACAUUCCUAACAUUACAAGGACCUUGAAGAAGUUAUACAUCUUUCCCCUAUUUUCUCCAUCCUCAGUGAAGGGGUUAGAUUGAAUAAGAAAGAAGAGGGCUCCAAUAGAAAUUUUGAAGUGUGUAUAAUGGUGAAAUAUUGAAGAAGAAAAUAAGAGCCUUUCUUCCAUUUUUCUGACCAAAUAAUGAUGGCACUUCCUGUCUUCUUUCACAGUGGGAAAGAUAAUAUAAACUAUUAAAAAUAUAUAAUUCUAGAUCUUACUCUGUAACCUAUUAUUAAAUUUUUGAAGGUAGCAUUUUCACUUUUCUCACCUGUAUGUUUCUCCAUGGUGUCUAGCAGAGGCCAUGUCAAAUUGCAGAAACUUAUCUAUUCUCCGUGACCAUGACUCCUGGCCAUAACUGAGUGGAUGGUGGAUAGGACACCCGAGCCAAGUUGGUGCAAUCAUAUUGGCUCUUUCAGGAUCUUGGAAUUGGGAUUUAGAGACCUGUGACUUAUAUGAGUAUACUCGGGAGUUAUAAGGCAAUGGCUGUCUUGUAUGUACAUAGGCAGAGACAACAGGUAUGGAGAGAGAGAAUGAUAAAGCAGCCAUAUAGAAGAAAGACAGACCGUGUGUUCCUUGAGAGAGAGAGUGUGUAAGAGAGAAAGGUAGAGGUAGGUUGGGAGAGAGUAACAGAGAGAGAGAGAAAGAGAGAGAGAAAAUGAUAAAAGAGUAGCUACUUGGAUUUUUGAUCUGUCUCCAGGCCUUCUGAGGCCUGCUUCCAUUUCCACAUACCAUCACUCAAGAUAAUCUCUGUGAUGAGUCUUUGUAACUUGCACACCAAAAAAAAAAAAAAAAAAAAAAAAAAAAGUCUUCAUGCAUGAUAAAUUAUUCCGUGCAGUUCCACAGAGAUCUUCUAAGGGAAAGAAAAUAUAAGUCCACUUAACCCAAUCUCAGAAUGGCCUUAUUUUAGUUUUGUGAUGGUUGCUAGUGGUCCAGAGUAUUUUUCAGGUUCCAAGGGAGACAUGGAGAUGUGGGACUAUUCAAACAGCUGGAACUUGAGGAUGUACUUGGGGCUAUAGUUAGAGGUGAUGAUAGAAGUGAAAAAAGUGAAUAAGAUGCUCAACUUUUAAUUUUACAAGCUCAAACACUCAAGAAACCAAAGCAUCGUGAAUGGAAAAGAAAAGAUAGGGUACAUUUCUAACUUUAAAAUAAUUAUAAUCUAGGUAGAGAAAAGUAAAAUAUACACAUAUGCACCCAGAACUAAAUGAGUGCUACAGAUUAUAAGCAUUAUAAGAUAUAAAGAAGAUAGCUAUUAUUGCUGGGCUAUUGUUUUCAGGUAUUAAUAACGUCAGGUUUGGUUUAGGCUAUAAAGGACAACUUUGCUCUCACAAUGGAAAAUGUAGUGACUUGAGGUCAGCUUUUCUACUGACUAGAUAUGUGACUGUGAUCAGUCACUUUACCUUUCCAAUUUCACAGCAGUUUCCUCCUCUGUAAAAUGAGGGCUGUGUAUUGGAUUCAUUAAUUCAUUCAAAACAUAAACUUUCAGUGCCCACUGUAAUGUAUAGAACUAGGAAUACUGCAUAAAUACCAGUCUUCUAAAAAGACUGUCACUCUGAUGUGUCUAUGAACAAAAGACAGUGGGAGGCAACUAAGCUGCCUACAGGUAAAGAAAAACUCCAUUGAGACCAUGUUUGGAUGAAUAGGAGUUGUUAGGUGAAUCCGAUAAUGAUGGAACCUUCCGGAGAAAGGGUUGCAUAGAUCAUUGCAAAUGUUUCUUGUAGCAUUAAUAUUUUUAUUUGCUUCUGCUUUGUUUAGAGGAGGAGGAAGGGAGUGAACAAAUGUUGGGUAGGAGUUAAGCGUAUGAAUUGAAGAGAAGAUAGAAGGAAAUAAUUUCCUGGGCUUCUUCAAACCCCUAAAAUGUAUUCAAAGUGAAUUCCAUGAAGGAAAAUACAUGAAAAAGCAGAUAAUUAAAACCUCCUUUGCCUCCUCUGUAUUUCUGUCUUGUAUAAGAUCUUAGAGAUACUGCAAAAAUGAUAUAAUAGGAUUCAUGUCCCUCAUAGACGUUUAGGACUCCCAUCCAGAGGCAGUGUGUGGAGUGCUUAAGAAUUUGAGUUUUGAAGACAGAUCACAUGCUAGCUAACACCACCACCUACUAGUUGUAAGAUCUUUAAAAAGUUUAAACUUUUUUGUGCCUUUGCCUUCUCAUCUGUAAAAUGGAGAUGAUAACAAUAGCUACUUCCUAUGGUGAGAAUUAAAUGUAUUAAACAUAUAAAGUGCCUAGAACCAGCACAUAAAAGCACACUGGCAUUUAAAAAUAAUAGCAUAUUAGUUAUUAUUACCUAUUAUUCCAUAGAGAGUUCACCACCGAGGUGAGGUAAUGGCAAUAUGCCUCCCUACAUUAGUGAGUAACCUGAGGGUGCUUCCCUGUGCCUGGUCUUCAAUAGGGAUGGCUUAGAAUUUGCUUAUUUAGUCAUGAUACAAAAGUAUGUCCAAUGAGGCCCUAUUUCAGGCACGGUGAACUAUAUGAAAGGAGAAAUAAAUAAACCGUGAAGUACAAUAUUCCAACACAAGGCAGUACAUUUUAAAUAUAAAACAAAUAUUUAGGAGCUCAGAGGAGGCAGAUGUGACAGCUGCCUGAAACAUCAGGGGACACUUCUUGGGUGGCAUGGGAAGUGUACAAUGACAGACAUCAUUUCAGGGAUUUAAGUCAGGAUUUGCCUCAGCUGGUUUGUGCACCCUCUUUGCAUUCACAAGCCUUUCUUUCGUCUCGCCUGAGCUUUUAGAGCAAAAUCUGAUCCAGAGACUGUGGAUGCUGGAGGAGCGUCAAGGCUGGGAAAGUAACAUGCACUGUGUUCGCAAUCAACAGAAAAGAUAUUUUUAAACAAAAACAAUUUUCCAAGUUUCCAGGAAGAGAAACAAAAGGCUUUUCUAAAAUGAAAGAAACUGUUCUUCUCAUUCUGUGACUUUUAUGUCACUUGGACAACAAGCCAGUGCUUAGGAACGGUUAUUUUCCUGUCGACAUCGCUGCAUGGAUACUUCUUAGAAGAACAUAACAGCAUUAGCACUCAGUCCCAGGUUCUGCUCACCCUCCAAUGGCAGUCGUCUUCAAAAACAAUAAAGAUAUCUGUGCUUGGUCUCUCUGUCUUGAUUACACUGCAGGCACAACCUGUGUGGGGAAACAAUAUCCUGGAUCAUACUGAAGGUUCGCACAGAUGGAACAUUAGUGGGAGGGGUUGCCAGCUACUUCCCUGCCAACUUGUUAGUGCUGGAGACAUUAUCCUCUUAUUUUGCCAGUUUAACAGAAGAUCAGUCGUAAAGAUUCACUGUAGGCUCAGCAACAUAAUUAUUAUCUAUGGUCUCUGCAUUAACUGUGAGAAAACAUCAUAGUCUGAAUCUGCCUAAUUUCAAAUGCCAAGCUGUGCCCACAUUCAGCCCACAACUGAACCUGAAUACUCAAUAUAUCCUUAGCAUUGCUACUGUUGUCAUCAUGGUGGAUGUUAAGUACAGGUUUGCCCAAGCUAUGAUGUUUAAUUGUUGCCUUACUGCUUCUGUAUUUCUUCUGUUUCCCUGACCCUUUUCAACACCAGCCCCAUGCAAUUUAAAACUAUUAAAAAGGUAAAAAUCGGUGUCACAUUUAGUUCUGCUACUCAGUACAGAAGUGCCAAGCCCCUGCAAAUCUGGAAAACAAACUCCUUAACAGAUGGGCCACAUAAAGUUUACAACAUGUGCAAUGUGGGAGGUAGUAUGGCUCUGGGCAAGAAACAGAAGACUGGAAGUUUGGGAGCUCAGGGUUUUUGAAUUUGCUUUUGCUUUUUG